ACAUGGUGGUGGCUGGGGACAGCCCCAUGGCGGCGGUGGCUGG
rfam:Procavia capensis prion protein (PRNP) gene, partial cds.